CCAAAAGUCCAAAUGACCAAAACCCUAAUUUGUUUCUACUCUCACGCUCUCACACCCGCAAACUUUCCCGAGCAGCAGACCCUCUCUCUCGAGCGGGCUCGGCGAGUCAGUCCUGCCCAAUUCAGAUAUGGGAUGAGGAUUUCGUGGACGCCUUGCUUACUGGUAGCCCCUUUCUCUGAAAGAAUGAAGAGCUCCAAGUUCGAUCUCCAUACAUAUGACUAUGGACUUGCUUCUUUCUAUUUCUGUCGUUUGAAUUGGGACAAUCCUGUUAUUUCUGACAUUAGAAUGACCUGAUUUUGUAUUUGGAGAUGAUAUACUGACCUGAUUUUGUAUUUGGAGAUGAAAUACAUGUUUGGAUGCAAGAUGGUCGAAUUAUAUACUCGGUUGUUUUCUUCAA